UGUGAUAUAAUUCAUCACUAUGAAAAUCUGAUGAAAACACAUCAAUAGAUAUACAUCACCGGCACAAAACAAACAUCAUUAACAAUUUAAA
rnacentral:sRNA from 1 species